rnacentral:lncRNA from 1 species
AAACGGAAGGUGGCACAUGGAACCACGGCUGUGGUCUCCAAAGGAAAGAAGGCCCGCCUUGAGGUUGGUAAAUUCUCAUUGAAAUAUGUACUUUUUUUUGGUUGAAACACAGGAACAACUAUUUUUUGAUUUCGCCUUUACUACAAGAGAUAGUCCAACAUUCUCUGUGUAGGUAUUGUUUUGCCAAUGAUUUACAAUUAUUUUCCAGGCACUUCAAACUCCAGCAAGGAUUGCUAAACCUUCGAAGCUGGUACCUCCCCCUCGACCUGUGCCAGAAGCUGCUGUGCCAGCCACUCUGGAGGGCGUACCUCCUCCUCGACCUGUUCCAGAAGCUGCUGUGCCAGCCACUCUGGAGGGCAGCGUCUUUGUGCCUUCGAGCAAGGUAAUUUGCAUACAACAUGUGAUGAUUACACACAUUAAGUGAAUAGAGUGCGGUUCUCUAUUCUUUUGAUAUUUUCUCUAAGUUCCCUUUAAGAAAGUGUAGUUUUGUGUUUCCAUUUCUCAAUUGUAUUGUACAUAUAAUUCUUACUAUGUCAUUACAGUUUGCUCAACCGGAGGGGGAUGACAAGACUCUGUGUGUUGAUGAGUGGCCGUUUCUUCAAACAGACUUUUGUGAGAAGGUGAACCAGCCAACUGCUCGGGUUGUCUCUGGACAGAGAAAACAAGAGGAGCCAACACCUUGGGGUCCAAAAGUUGUGAUGGCCCAGGCUGAUAAACCAACAGCCAAUGAGACCAGCUUCUUGGGGUGUUCAACCAAGGUAAUGACAACAAUAUAAAAAAUGAUUUGCAAAUAAGCAAUCAAUCUGUUCCAGGAUCAGUAUCUAGUAACAUUUACAUUAUUACUUCAUAAUUACAAUCAACAUAGUUUAACUGUUUUUAACAUGUUCUUGGUAAUAUCUACACACUAUGAAUUGGAAAUGUCAAGAAGGUUGGCUGAUGAACUUGUUGUGCUCAUUUUAAUUAUUUAAACUGAACUGAAAUAAAAGUUUUCUUUGUCCUUAAUUCUGUUCACCACAAUACACUAAAUGUCCCCUUUUCUAUGGCUAAUGAGUUUGCAUGUAGGGGUAAACCUCAAUUUUUUAACAUUCGUAAUGUUUGUGAUUGCAGAUGACACACAUUGAGGACCACGAGCCGUUUGAACCAGCACCUGAGGUCACUGCGAGCAGUCAGCAGGUAUGUAAUUACUAGUGGAAAAAUUGUAUACCAACGGGAAAAGCCACAGCUUAAGAGACCCAUUUUGUUUUGAUGUGUUUAUUCUUUUAAAACAUUGAUAUGGUGUAAGUGUGCAGUUCUGACUAAUUUGCCUAUACUAUGUACAUUUUCAAAUUACUUGGGAACCAACAUGCUUUUAAAAACACUGAAUUGUCAUUUCAGCAGAGCCCGCCUGAGGACAAUGGCCAGCUUGAAGAUCCUCAUGUAACACUUGGCAAUCAGAAGGUACUUAUUUUUAACAUGUUAUUCCCUGUUCCUUGUGAGUUUUCCUGCCAUUUAUUAGAUCUGGGAAAUUAGUUAAAGUAAUGUUCAUAUCAUG